rnacentral:rRNA from 1 species
UGGGGAAUAUUGCACAAUGGGCGCAAGCCUGAUGCAGCCAUGCCGCGUGUGUGAAGAAGGCCUUCGGGUUGUAAAGCACUUUCAGCGAGGAGGAAGGUGGUGAGCUUAAUGCGCUCAUCAAUUGACGUUACUCGCAGAAGAAGCACCGGCUAACUCCGUGCCAGCAGCCGCGGUAAUACGGAGGGUGCAAGCGUUAAUCGGAAUUACUGGGCGUAAAGCGCACGCAGGCGGUUUGUUAAGUCAGAUGUGAAAUCCCCGGGCUCAACCUGGGAACUGCAUUUGAAACUGGCAAGCUAGAGUCUCGUAGAGGGGGGUAGAAUUCCAGGUGUAGCGGUGAAAUGCGUAGAGAUCUGGAGGAAUACCGGUGGCGAAGGCGGCCCCCCUGGACGAAGACUGACGCUCAGGUGCGAAAGCGUGGGGCAGCAAACAGGAUUAGAUACCCUGGUAGUCCAGCGCUGUAAACGAUGUCGAUUUGGAGGUUGUGCCCUUGAGGCGUGGCUUCCGGAGCUAACGCGUUAAAUCGACCGCCU